rnacentral:rRNA from 1 species
UACAGAGGUCCCAAGCGUUGUUCGGAUUCACUGGGCGUAAAGGGUGCGUAGGCGGUCGGGUAAGUCUGACGUGAAAUCUUCAAGCUCAACUUGGAAACUGCGUCGGAUACUAUUCGGCUGGAGGAAUGGAGGGGAGACUGGAAUACUUGGUGUAGCAGUGAAAUGCGUAGAUAUCAAGUGGAACACCAGUGGCGAAGGCGAGUCUCUGGACAUUUCCUGACGCUGAGCACGAAGCCAGGGGAGCAAACGGA